UCAACAUAGAGUCGGUAUACUAGAAAUCAUCAGUGCAAAAAUGCAUAAUGCUCACAACAUGAUCAGUGAUAGGUAUAACCACCCAUCUUACGAUUACGUAGUACCGAAAUAAACGGAACCCACAUAUCUAACAGUUACAAACAGUUAUCAACAACUCGUCUAUAAAAAGAGGUAAAUGAACAGCAUUUGAUAAGAUACUUCUGAGUUGAUAUUCUAUUUUUCUGAAAACUUAAUCUACUGUUUACCACUCCCCACUGACUUAGGCAUCGGAGAGUCUCCAUCGGACAUAAUUUCGAUCAAUGUGAACUUUUUUUGCAGGUGUUCUUCUCCGACAACGGUCGCAACAGGGGAUUAGCCACAACAAAUUGACACACC
rnacentral:lncRNA from 1 species